CCCGGAUCCUGAGUCUCCAAGCCGCCCACUACCCUCUGCUUUACCGGAUGGAACUCAUCAGUAACUAGGUCUGAGGCACAGUCAGUGAAUACCUGUUUAAUGAAUGCAUGCAUAAAUGAAUGAAUGGAUGAUCCAGCUCUUCCUGGAGCAGGCACGACUUCCACAGAAACAGAGCAAACGCUAGCCGUAAGCAGAAGUGAGUCUUCUUCCUAUGUGAAGGGAUGUGGGGGUGGUACGCCCCUAUCAACUUUAUCUUUACAUAGUCCUUGAGCGCCCACCGGGCACCGUGUUCCCCGGACUAGAGGGAGGGAGAGGGGGGUUAGCUCCACCCUUAACAAGCUUAAUUCUUGAUGAGAUUAACCAUCAAAACCCAUCAGAGAACGUUAUAGCUCCAGCGCUGAAUGAGACAUCUUUGAUUCUGUGGUGAUGCGGACUUUGUGCCUCUCUGUGAGGAAUCACUUUGUUCCAAUGACGCAAUUUUCCUCACACUCCGGAAGUGUCCUGCACUGCCAGAAUCGCCCAGCUUCCCGGCACACCUAUCAACCAGUCGUUCCCAGCACUGCCCAGUAUGCAGCCUCCAGGCAGAGGGCCUGGAUGUCUUGGCAGGUGUUUCCGAAAAAUCCAAUCCACCCUCCAAGGUGGAAAGUGUGCCAUCUCUGCCCAUAAUCCAAAUGGCGUGCCUGAGGCAUAGAAAGCAGCUUUCAGGGAGGCCUUCCUUCCUCUGAGCAAUGGUGGCAUCAUCAGAAAAGUGGAGCUCCUCCAAAAGGAUCUGCUGGAAGCAGAGGACGCCCAUGUGGAGCAGCAUGCGGAGGGCCCUUGCACAACCUGGGUCUUCAGGAAGUUCCUUGCCCAGGUGUUGGCCCAGCUCUCUUCAUGGUUCCAAGAAGGCUGCCCCAGGAAGGCUUGUGGACAGAGGGAGAAGCAUCUCUUCCUCUAUGUCUCUUUUUAUCUAAGAAACCAGUUUGACCAGCAUCCUUCCCCUCGGCUCCCCAGGAGGAAUGCACGGAUCCCUUCGCCUUCCCCCAUCCCUCCAUGGUUGACUAAACCCACUAGGAUCCACUCUUUUGCGUGGAAAUGGGUUCAGGCCUCCCACGAAGAGCAUGAAGAUGCCCUCUGUUAUGGGUUACAUUAUGUCCCCUGCCCCCGAGACCGUAUGUUGAGUCCUAACCCUAGUAUUGCAGAACGUGAAUUUAUUAGGAGAUAGGGUCUUUAUGGAGGUCAUUAAGUUAAAUGAGGGUGUUAGGGUGGGCUGGUGUCCUGAUAUAAAGGGGAAAUUUGGGGCUGGGUGUAGUGGCUCACACAUAUAAUCCCAGUGCCUCGAGAGGCCAAGGCAGGAGGAUUGCUUGAGGGCAGGAGUUCAAGACCAGCUUGGGUAACAUAGGGAGACCGGUAUCUAUAAAAAAAAUUAAAAACAAAAAAAUUAGCCGAGUGUGGUGGUGCAUGCCUGUAGUCCCAGCUACUCAGGAGGCUGAGGUGGGAGGAUCGCUUGAGUCCAGGAAUUUGAGGCUGCAGUGAGCCAUAAAAAGAUGGGGGACGAUGGAGACGCACAGGGAAAACACCUUGUGAAUGCGGCAGAGAUAAGGGUGAUGCCUCUACACACCGAGGAACUUCAGAGACAACCAGUAAGUCACUGGGAGCUCGGGGAAGGCACAGCGCAGAUGCUCGCUGCCCUCAGAGGGAAGCCAGCCCGCCAACCCCUUGAUCUCAGACCUCUGGCCCCUGGAACUGUGAGAUGAUAGAUUUCUGUCGUUUAAGCACAGUGGUGCUGUGUUAUAGCAGCCCUAGGGAACCAUCCACUAUCAGAACAAAAGCAGGGCUGGACUGCUAGAAGAAAGGAGAGGAGAAUGGCAGAGGAUACCCACCUUGGGGCUGAAUCUGAGAUCACUCCAGGGCUCCCCAGGUUGUUUUGAAGAAUGGAGAUGGAUUUGUGCAGGGCUCACUGUAGAAGCUCAGUGCAGCAUGCGACGCUUAUAAGGCUGCAAUCCCCAGAGCUCAGUCCCUGAAGAGCGCUGCAUUCACAGACAUCAGCCAGCAGACAAACCAGUACCUAUUGUCCCUGACCCCCAGAAUCCAGCAGACAUAUAAAAGAUGGUUGUUAACCCCACUAAGUUUUGGGGUAAUUUGUUAUGCAGCCAUGCAACUGAAAGAAGCAGCUACAAUAUUUUUAUAAUGAAAUUCUUAGCCAGGACCCUCAUAGCCUAGCAAGAAGUUCUGUCUGGAAGAGCCCAGCUUUGGGGUUGGGUAUGUCUGGGUUUUAAUAUGUCAAGAGGGCAGGCCCUGGAGACGGAGCACAUGGAUUUGAAUCCCAGCCUCUCAUAGGCAGGUUAAUUAAUUUCCCUGAAUCUCAGUUUCUUCAUCUCUCAAUGGAGAAAAUAAUAGAAGCCACCUCACGGGAAUUAAAUGAGAUUAUUUACGCACAGCACCAAGGCUGUGGCUACUGUAUUUGACCCCUGAAACAGUUAAUUUUUCUUGACAUCCCUUCCUUGGUAUAUGUAUUAGUCAGGGUUCUCUAGAGGGACAGAACUAAUAGGAUAUCUCUCUCUCUAUAGAUUUAUAUAAAGGGGAGUUUAUUAAGUAUUAACUUACACAAUCACAAGGUCCUGCAAUAGGUCGUCUGCAGGCUGAGGAGCAAGGAGAGCCAGUUCAAGUCCCAAAACUGAAGAACUUGGAGUCUGAUGUUCGAGUCCAGGAAGCAUCCAGCACAGGAGAAAGAUGGAAGCUGGGAGGCCAGGCCUGACUCUCCUUUUCAUGUUUUUCUGCCUGCUUUAUAUCCGCUGGCAGCUGAUUAGGUGGUGCCCACCAGAUUAAGGGUGGAUCUGCCUUCCCCAGCCCACUGACUCAAAUGUUAAUCUCUUUUGGCAACACCCUCACAGACACACCCAGGAUCAAUACUGUCAGUUCAAUCAAGUUGACACUCAGUAUGAACCAUCGCAAUACAAUAGGAUUACUUUCUGUGAUAACCUGUGUAAAAAUAGGCAGUCAUGAUUUUCCUGUUGUGUUCUUCAGGUGUAAAACAAAAAAUUUUAAAAGAAGAAACUUCAAUUUUAA
rnacentral:lncRNA from 1 species